rnacentral:rRNA from 1 species
CCUACGGGUGGCAGCAGUGAGGAAUAUUGGUCAAUGGACGAGAGUCUGAACCAGCCAAGUAGCGUGAAGGAUGACUGCCCUAUGGGUUGUAAACUUCUUUUAUAAAGGAAUAAAACGAGGCACGUGUGCCUUUUUGCAUUUACUUUAUGAAUAAGGAUCGGCUAACUCCGUGCCAGCAGCCGCGGUAAUACGGAGGAUCCGAGCGUUCUCCGGAUUUCUUGGGUUUAAAGGGAGCGUAGAUGGGUUGUUAAGUCAGUUGUGAAAGUUUGCGGCUCAACCGUAAAAGUGCAAUUGAUACUGGCAGUCUAGAGUACAGUUGAGGUAGGCGGAAUUCGUGGUGUAGCGGUGAAAUGCUUAGAUAUCACGAAGAACCACGAUUGCGAAGGCAGCUUACUAAACUGUGACUGACAUUGAUGCUCGAAAGUGUGGGUAUCAAACAGGAUUAGAUACCCCGGUAGUC